CUACGUGCCAGCAGCCGCGGUAAUACGUAGGGUGCGAGCGUUAAUCGGAAUUACUGGGCGUAAAGCGAGCGCAGACGGUUACUUAAGCAGGAUGUGAAAUCCCCGGGCUCAACCUGGGAACUGCGUUCUGAACUGGGUGACUAGAGUGUGUCAGAGGGAGGUAGAAUUCCACGUGUAGCAGUGAAAUGCGUAGAGAUGUGGAGGAAUACCGAUGGCGAAGGCAGCCUCCUGGGAUAACACUGACGUUCAUGCUCGAAAGCGUGGGUAGCAAACAGGAUUAGAUACCCUGGUAGUCCACGCCCUAAACGAUGUCAAUUAGCUGUUGGGCAACUUGAUUGCUUAGUAGCGUAGCUAACGCGUGAAAUUGACCGCCUGGGGAGUACGGUCGCAAGAUUAAAACUCAAAGGAAUUGACGGGGACCCGCACAAGCGGUGGAGCAUGUGGUUUAAUUCGAAGCAACGCGAAGAACCUUACCAGGUCUUGACAUCCCUCUGACCGCUCUAGAGAUAGAGCUUUC
rnacentral:rRNA from 1 species